CACCCAUCCAGAGCGGUUGAGAGACCUGGCUCCCCGAGACCGCAGCAACCCCCGGCCACCGGAGCGGGUGCUACCGCCAGGACCGAUGGAGG
rnacentral:ncRNA from 1 species